CACGUAGGGUGCGAGCGUUAAUCGGAAUUACUGGGCGUAAAGCGUGCGCAGGCGGUUUUGUAAGCCGGAUGUGAAAUCCCCGGGCUUAACCUGGGAAUGGCAUUCGGGACUGCAAGGCUGGAGUGCGGCAGAGGAGACUGGAAUUCCUGGUGUAGCAGUGAAAUGCGUAGAUAUCAGGAGGAACACCGAUGGCGAAGGCAGGUCUCUGGGCUGACACUGACGCUCAUGCACGAAAGCGUGGGGGAGCAAACAGG
rnacentral:rRNA from 1 species